GCAGCAACAAUGAGAGCAACAAUCAGUAAUAUUAGCAGCAAAAAGAGAUAGCCAUGACAAUUCUGCCAAGGCAUACCUCCACAAUGGUCAGUACCUUCAAGUUCAUAGCUCCAGUAUGAAUAAGGUCACAUUCAUAGCUCCAGUAUGAAUUCAACAACCUUAGUAGCUUCGGUAUGACUUAAUUAAACAACAUUCAUAGCUCCAGUAUGAAUAAGGUCACAUUCAUAGCUCCAGUAUGAAUUCAACAACCUUAGUAGCUUCGGUAUGACUUAAUUAAACAACAUUCAUAGCUCCAGUAUGACUUAAGCAACAUUCAUAGCUCCAGUAUGAAUUAAACAACAUUCAUAGCUCCAGUAUGAAUUAAGCAACAUUCAUAGCUCCAGUAUGAAUUCAACAAUAUUCAUAGCUCCAGUAUGAAUUCAACAAUAUUCAUAGCUCCAGUAUGAAUUCAACAACAUUCAUAGCUCCAGUAUGAAUAAAACGACCAUGUAGUUCCAAUAUGAACUUGAAG